rnacentral:tRNA from 1 species
GGGGAAGUAGCUCAAUAGGUAGAGCCACGGCUUCCAAACCCGUGAGAGUUCCAGGUUCGAGUCCUGGCUUCCCCG